GACGUAGGGGGCGAGCGUUGUCCGGAUUCAUUGGGCGUAAAGCGCGCGUAGGCGGCCCGAUAAGUCGGAUGUGAAAUCUCACGGCUCAACCGUGGAACUGCAUUCGAUACUGUCGGGCUAGAGGCAGGUAGGGGAGAUCGGAAUUCCCGGUGUAGCGGUGAAAUGCGCAGAUAUCGGGAGGAACACCGGUGGCGAAGGCGGAUCUCUGGGCCUGUCCUGACGCUGAGGCGCGAAAGCGUGGGGAGCAAACAGG
rnacentral:rRNA from 1 species